rnacentral:rRNA from 1 species
UACGUAGGGUGCGAGCGUUAAUCGGAAUUAUUGGGCGUAAAGCGCACGUAGGCGGUUUGUUAUGUCGGAUGUGAAAGCCCUUGGCUCAACUGAGGAAGUGCAUCCGAAACUGGCAAGCUAGAGUAUGUAAGAGGGUCGCGGAAUUCCCGGUGUAGAGGUGAAAUUCGUAGAUAUCGGGAGGAACACCGGUGGCGAAGGCGGCGACCUGGGACAAUACUGACGCUGAGGUGCGAAAGCGUGGGGAGCAAACAGG